GACGAACCGUGCGAACGUUGUUCGGAAUCACUGGGCUUAAAGGGCGCGUAGGCGGUCUGCCAAGUCCGGGGUGAAAGCCCCCAGCUCAACUGGGGAAGUGCCUUGGAUACUGGCGGACUCGAGCGAGGUAGGGGUCGUGGGAACUUCCGGUGGAGCGGUGAAAUGCGUUGAUAUCGGAAGGAACGCCGGUGGCGAAAGCGCACGACUGGACCUCUUCUGACGCUGAGGCGCGAAAGCCAGGGGAGCAAACGGG
rnacentral:rRNA from 1 species